AGGAGCAGCUUGGAAUUCUGACACCGCCCAGCCGCUGUGGUGUCCAUGGCAACAGGAAACUGCAUGCAUAAGCCCCUCCCUCUCCUCUAUGCUCCGCCCCCCACACUUGCCAAGGAAUGGGGCUGGGAAGGGGCGCACACGUCGCACCCACAGCCUGCCCACCGCCAGGGGGCGUCCUCGCCGGAGGGACAGGCCGGCUCCGAGACAGGUCGGACGCAGCCACAGGAGGAACCCAGGAGUCGCCUCCGGCCCCAGUGCGGAGGUUGGAGCCCCCGCAGGACGACGUCAGCCGUGACCUUUCUCAAAGCUCUCGGGUUUCUGAGCUGUUAACUCGGCACACACACGCGCACUUCCCCAGAUGGUAGCACUGGGAGGUGGGCAGCCACAGCAGUACUUCCCCUCAACUUUUCUACCAGAACAUCAUGUCACCAUCAUGAUGGGAAAGAAUACACCGCACUACCAGAGAAGUCAGGAGUCCUGAGGCUAGAACUGCUCAGCCACGCACAUCUACCGCCGGUACAAACCCAGGCAGCUCUGGAGGCCCCACGUCCACUGAAGGCAAGAGAAGGCAUCAUCUGGCCAUUACAGCACCUCCAUCUUU